AUUGAACGCUGGCGGCAUGCUUUACACAUGCAAGUCGAACGGCAGCACGGGAGCUCGCUCCUGGUGGCGAGUGGCGAACGGGUGAGUAAUGCAUCGGAACGUACCCAGUAGUGGGGGAUAGCCCGGCGAAAGCCGGAUUAAUACCGCAUAUUUCCUGAGGGAGAAAGCGGGGGACCUUCGGGCCUCGCGCUACUGGAGCGGCUGAUGUCGGAUUAGCUAGUUGGUGAGGUAAAGGCUCACCAAGGCGACGAUCCAUAGCUGGUCUGAGAGGAUGAUCAGCCACACUGGGACUGAGACACGGCCCAGACUCCUACGGGAGGCAGCAGUGGGGAAUAUUGGACAAUGGGCGCAAGCCUGAUCCAGCCAUGCCGCGUGAGUGAUGACGGCCUUAGGGUUGUAAAGCUCUUUCAACGGUGAAGAUAAUGACGGUAACCGUAGAAGAAGCCCCGGCUAACUUCGUGCCAGCAGCCGCGGUAAAGUCAG
rnacentral:rRNA from 1 species